AUCUGGCCACAGCAGGAACAAGAGGCGCCCGGAAAACCCUAGCUCUUGGCUAUCUCUUCCCUGAGCACACCCUGGCCCUGGGGCCUGAGAUCUCUCCAUGCAGGGGCAGCCAUGAGCUCCGGGGGCAGCAGCAAGGCUGGCCACACCACCCGCCCAGCCACCUCCGGCCCCACCGCUCGACCAGCCAUCAGUCCCUUAACUGCCAGUGUUCGUGGACCAUGCAAAACAACCAAGCAAGGGACUCAUUAAGCCCAAAGCAAUUUUAGGGUGCCCAGUGGAGAGACUCACAGAGGCUGCUAGUGCCAAUGCUGCUGGUGCUGCUGCUGAGGAGUGCCCAGGACCAGGCACCAGGGGAGUUGGAGUCAAUAACCAUCACUGUCAGAUCUACUGACCCCCAAGCCAGUUUCUCCCGUCAGCAGAUCCCAGCCAGCCUAGAAGCAGGCUCACAGUUUUCCAUGGAGGGCUUGGAUAAUAAACUGAUCCUGGAUGUUGGUGGCAUACGCCACCUGAUCUACAUCAGCACCAUGAGGGCCUUUCCAG
rnacentral:sRNA from 1 species